AUUGAACGCUGGCGGCAUGCUUUACACAUGCAAGUCGAACGGCAGCGCGGGCUUCGGCCUGGCGGCGAGUGGCGAACGGGUGAGUAAUACAUCGGAACUUGCCCAGUAGUGGGGGAUAGCUCGGCGAAAGCCGGAUUAAUACCGCAUACGACCUGAGGGUGAAAGCGGGGGAUCUUCGGACCUCGCGCUAUUGGAGCGGCCGAUGGCAGAUUAGCUAGUUGGUGGGGUAAAGGCCUACCAAGGCGACGAUCUGUAGCUGGUCUGAGAGGACGACCAGCCACACUGGGACUGAGACACGGCCCAGACUCCUACGGGAGGCAGCAGUGGGGAAUUUUGGACAAUGGGCGAAAGCCUGAUCCAGCAAUGCCGCGUGUGUGAUGAAGGCCUUCGGGUUGUAAAGCACUUUUGGCGGGAACGAAAAGGACUGUGCCAAUACCACGGCUCGAUGACGGUACCCGCAGAAUAAGCACCGGCUAACUACGUG
rnacentral:rRNA from 1 species